GCCAUCUCUCAGGAUUAAUGCGUGUUUAUGUGGGUAUAUUUUUAUCUUUGACCGUGCAACUCUUGGAGCAAAGAAAACCACCCCAAUUUUUACCAAGAUGCCUGAGCCAUUCACAGCUUUAGAAAAGAAAUGAAUGGGUGGAGAGCCCUUGAGCCCAGGGACUUCUCUCACACAAACAAUGGAAAACACAAAGCUUAAUAAGCCAAAGCCAAGGCUGCUUAACUAACAAGGGACAGAGCUGGAGUCUGAUCUUAGGCCUGGCACUGAACUCCAACACCACACCGAGGUUCAUCCCAGAUGUCAUGAUUCUGGGCAAAGAAAAGAACAGAUUUAUGUCUGGAGUCUGCUGAAUGGUAUACACCAUCAAUACGCUUUGCACCUUCUACAAAGAGUUCCCGAUCCUGGACCAUGCCACCUGCUAGCUAAUCAGAAGUUUCCCCUUGCCCCUUCCAGACAGAAGACUUCCUGGAGUUCUGCAGCACCCACCCAGGCUCAGCCCCUCUCUCCUGGACUCAACCAGUUGUGUCGGCAUCAGACUCCGUGGGCUCACAUCAUUCUUGUUGUUGAAGUCCUUUCUCCAAAGCACAGAUAUCUUGUUCUGGCUUCAUAGGCUCUGGCUCUGGAAAAGUACAGAAUGAAAUCUAAAAUUCUCCACCAUGCACACAACACCUCCCUCCGUGUCACCCCUGCCUAUCCGUUCAUACUGAUCCCCGCCCAGUUCUAAACGCUGGCUGGAGGGAUGGUCCCAACACCCAGCCAACCUGCAGGGUCUCACCCAUCUGCUGCCCUUGCACAUGUUAUCUCCUCCAUGAAGACAACUCGAACCCGACACAUUUCAAGAGCUGCCUCUCAAACAAUCCUGCUCUUUCCCUGCCACUCACUGGACCCUGGACCUCUCUGAGCCUUGGGUUCCUCCUCUGCAAUGAAGAGAUCAUACUAUGUCUAUGGAGAAUUAGAAAAAGGACUUGUGUUCUGCACAUUCACAGAAAAGUCAUAAACACUCUGUGAAUGGUUUUUAUCACAAUAACCCAUGCUCUUUAGGUUCUGGUUUCAAUCCUGUUUGUCCUGAGAAACUUUCUAAAAUCUUCCUUGUUGAAAUUGAGCAUCUCCUCUCUCACCUUGUGAAAUUUUGAGGUAUUUUUUAAAAUAGUUAAACUUAGUUUAUUUUUUAUAGUAGUUAACCGAUUCUGAGGAAUACAAAGCAGAUUGUGCGUUUCAUAAAUUGUACAAAUCAGUGGUUUUUUAGCAGACUAUACAGUCAUCACCAUUACCUAAUUCACAGGAGGGUUUCAAUUUCGUCACAUCCUCACAGACACUUUCGUUGUCUGUUUUAUUCCAACUGUCCUGGUGGAUGUGAAACCCUAUCUCACUGUAAUUUGCAUUUAUUUAAUGACUAAUUGAGUCAGCUUUUGAGUAAAGCUGUGACCAAAACACCCAACAAGAACAAACUUAGAGGAGGCAAAGUUUCUUUGAGGCUCAGGCUUCAGAGGUCUCAGUCCACAGAUGGCCUAAACCAUUGCUCUGGGCUUGAGAUGCUGCAGAACAUCCUGGAGGAAAAGUGUACCAGAGGAAAGCAGCUAAGGACACACCCACCAGGAAAUGGACAGAGAGACAGAUACACAGACACAUGGCCUCACCACAGACAAAAUAUAUACCCCCCAAUAAUACCCCCCAAUGACCCACCUUCUCCAGCCAUACCCUACCUGCCUAGAGUUACCAUUCAGUUAACCCCUAUUAAGGGAUAAUGCAUUGAUUAGGUUAAGACUCUCAUAACUCAACCAUUUCACCUCCAAACCUUCUUGCAUCAGCUCACAUGUGAGUUUUUGGGAACACCUAAUAUCCAAACCAAUAUUUUUGCCUUAACAGGAGUGUUUGGAGGAUACCUCAUAUCCAAACCAUAACAUUAAUCAUAUUGAGUGUGGAUUUUCAUGUAUUUGUCUUUUUAAGUCUGCUUAUAAAUUUUAUUUAUUUGUUUAUUUAUUUAUUUAAUGAUCCUGACAGUCAGACCCAAGGUCUUGCCUAUGAUAAGAGUACAUAGUACCAUGAGCUACAUCCAGCUGUGCUUCUAGUUUUACAAUGGCAGUUGGGAGAGCCAGCCCUUUGGCUAUCCUUGGGAUCUCCUACAAUCCUUUGCUCAAAGCAAAGUUGUAGGGCUCCAAAUGUGAAUAUUGGAUGAGUUACUUAUUUCUGACGUCACCUAUGGGGUAUCCUGAUAUGAACUGACUAUAAGGGAAAAGAGAGAGAAUAAAGAAAGUAUGGAGAAAAGUGUGGAGCAAAAAAUAAAGAAAGAAAUCAUAUGGUCCCUA